rnacentral:lncRNA from 1 species
UAUAUAAUCUAAACAGGGACGUACCUAUAUUGCUCUUGUGGUAUGAAGAGAUCUGAUGUAAAAAUAAACGCACUCUACCUUUUUUGUUUAGGUUUCCCCCUCACAGACACAGUUAACACCAGAAAGCCUGUCUCAACUGAAGCUCCAGACGAAUUGGGCUACAGGCUGAGCUUUAGAAUAGUCAAUGAAAACUUAACUAACCCGGACCCUCAGUCUCCAGAAUACAAAGCAGCAGUGGAGAGCAUCACUAACAAGGUGAAUCAACUGUACCAUCAGAGCAACCUGCGAGACCAGUUCCUGAACUGCAGUAUCACAAGGCUGAGGACCGGAUCCAUAGUGGUCGACUGCAAGUGCUUCUUCCAGCCAGAGCCCAGCAUCAACAGGACUGUGGUUGAAAGGACUUUCCAGGACAGGACUUCAAAUGCAACUGGACUAUGGCUGGG